CGCGGAAGGAAGGGAGGGAGAGAGCGCUCGCUCUGGGGACUGGCCUUUGCUGUGUAAACUGUUAAAGGCUGAGCUAGGAGCCCUGCGAGAUGCAGAAACAUUGUCUUAUGGGCAGCUGCAUCUUCAGAAUUCCUCAGGGAUAAGGUGAACUAAAGAUGUAUUUCCAAGAAUUCAAGGGUACUAUGAAGAAAGAUCCAUCCAUGGAUGCAAAUAUGAAUUAACCUAUGAUGCCAUUAUACUCUCCGACUGCAGCUGUAACUUCAACUUGCCAAUGUACACCAUUGCUCACAAGAGGACCAGAUGAGAGAGUGUGAAUGAAUUUAUUGCCAACCCUUUCCUACUCCCAAAACAAAACAAUUUUGUAGAUUUGUUAUUGAUGGGCCAUAGCACCAUCUUCAUAUACAAAUGACAACAUUUCAUAUGGCAUUAUUUUCAGUAUAAAUGAUAACAGAGAUCAUGGGGAGACUGUACAAAUUAUCUUGGGCUACUGUCUUAUUUAUAGAUUAAAGUACAGUUAUGUUUUCCACUGA